rnacentral:rRNA from 1 species
AUACGGAGGGUGCAAACGUUGUUCGGAAUUACUGGGCGUAAAGCGCGCGUAGGCGGUUUGUUAAGUCAGAUGUGGAAGUCCACAGCUCAACUGUGGAAGUGCAUUUGAAACUGGCAGACUUGAGUACUGGAGGGGGUGGUGGAAUUCCCGGUGUAGAGGUGAAAUUCGUAGAUAUCGGGAGGAAUACCGGUGGCGAAGGCGACCACCUGGCCAGAUACUGACGCUGAGGUGCGAAAGCGUGGGGAGCAAACAGGAUUAGAAACCCUAGUAGUCC